AAAUCUGUAAUUCACACCGACACUGGUGAUCCAGAGUCUUUUCUCUUUCCAGCUGUUGCUGUAAUCCAUUUUUAUAAGAAAAUCUGCUCCAGCUGUGUCUUAUAAAGUACAACGUGAUACUCCGUGCUUGUUUCUGGCAGCGUUAAUCACAAGGACCAGAGGGAAUUACAGUGAGACCUCAUCCUUAUUUUCCACAUGAGAGAGAGACUCACUCAGACAACAAACAGGAAUGUUAAAGUGUAAUAUGGGAGCUUGCAGACACCUGCGUGGAACCUCGUAUGACCACAUGGAAGCUCUUUUAUACUGACCUCAGGUCUCCCUCUGUGGGAUGUCCAUCUCCAGACACAGAGAGGCAGGGCUGUUGGGAGUGUCUGGUUUCAUAUUGUUAAGCCCGCAUGAACUCUCAGUGACAGCGUGGGAAGAGAGAUGUGUUUGCAGGAUGUAUGUACUUCACUGGAUUGAGAACUUUGUAUAACUCAAGCAGCCCGACGCAUUGGUUGUAUAUCAUGCCAUGAUGAGUAAAUCAAUAAACUAUUGUUGUCUGA